rnacentral:rRNA from 1 species
AGAGUUUGAUCAGGGCUCAGGACGAACGCUGGCGGCGUGCUUAACACAUGCAAGUCGAGCGGUAAGGCCCCUUCGGGGGUACACGAGCGGCGAACGGGUGAGUAACACGUGGGUGACCUGCCCUCAGCUCUGGGAUAAGCCCGGGAAACUGGGUCUAAUACCGGAUAUGACCUGCUGUUGCAUGACAGCGGGUGGAAAGUUUUUUCGGCUGGGGAUGGGCCCGCGGCCUAUCAGCUUGUUGGUGGGGUGAUGGCCUACCAAGGCGACGACGGGUAGCCGGCCUGAGAGGGCGACCGGCCACACUGGGACUGAGAUACGGCCCAGACUCCUACGGGAGGCAGCAGUGGGGAAUAUUGCGCAAUGGGCGAAAGCCUGACGCAGCGACGCCGCGUGGGGGAUGACGGCCUUCGGGUUGUAAACCUCUUUCGACCGGGACGAAGGGAAACUGACGGUACCGGUAGAAAAAGCGCCGGCUAAACUACGUGCCAGCAGCCGCGGUAAUACGUAGGGGCGCAAGCGUUAUCCGGAAUUAUUGGGCGUAAAGAGCUCGUAGGCGGUUUGUCGCGUCUGCUGUGAAAACCCGAGGCUCAACCUCGGGCCUGCAGUGGGUACGGGCAGACUAGAGUGCGGUAGGGAGAUUGGAAUUCCUGUGUAGCGGUGGAAUGCGCAGAUAUCAGGAGGAACACCGAUGGCGAAGGCAGAUCUCUGGGCCGUAACUGACGCUGAGGAGCGAAAGGGUGGGGAGCAAACAGGCUUAGAUACCCUGGUAGUCCACCCCGUAAACGUUGGGAACUAGUUGUGGGGUCCAUUCCACGGAUUCCGUGACGCAGCUAACGCAUUAAGUUCCCCGCCUGGGGAGUACGGCCGCAAGGCUAAACUCAAAGGAAUUGACGGGACCCGCACAAGCGGCGGAGCAUGCGGAUUAAUUCGAUGCAACGCGAAGAACCUUACCAAGGCUUGACAUACACGGGAACGCCGUAGAAAUACGGAACUCUUUGGACACUCGUGUACAGGUGGUGCAUGGUUGUCGUCAGCUCGUGUCGUGAGAUGUUGGGUUAAGUCCCGCAACGAGCGCAACCCUCGUUCUAUGUUGCCAGCACGUAAUGGUGGGAACUCAUGGGAUACUGCCGGGGUCAACUCGGAGGAAGGUGGGGAUGACGUCAAAUCAUCAUGCCCCUUAUGUCUUGGGCUUCACGCAUGCUACAAUGGCCGGUACAAAGGGCUGCAAUACCGUGAGGUGGAGCGAAUCCCAAAAAGCCGGUCCCAGUUCGGAUUGAGGUCUGCAACUCGACCUCAUGAAGUCGGAGUCGCUAGUAAUCGCAGAUCAGCAACGCUGCGGUGAAUACGUUCCCGGGUCUUGUACACACCGCCCGUCA